AGUUGGACAACGAGGACAUGCCUUGUGAUUGCUUCCGUGUUUCUCCGUUGAGAUAGGUUCACCGGCUCAGAGGAAGGGUUGAAACUCGAUCUCCAGUGUGAUGGUAUUUGGAGUUGGAGCCUUGAAAGGUGAUUAGAUCAUGAGAGCAGAGUCCUCCUGAAUGGGAUUAGUGACGUUACAAAACAGCUCCCUAGCCCCCCUGACAUGUGAGGACACAGAGAGAAGACAGCCAUCUCUGAACCAGGACGCAGGUUCUCACCAGAAACUCAAAUGCUUGCUGAAUUGAGUUGAAAUAGAAGUAAAAGAGAAUUUGGUGAAGGAGUUAGAAAUAGAGAAGGAGUCUUCAGAAAGAGAAGUAUGUGCCUGGCACAGAGAAGAUCCUCAAAAAUAGUAGUUGCACUGAUUUGAAACACCCGAGUACAAUAUCGAAAGGGAAAUAACUAAAAC